UACGGAGGGUGCAAGCGUUAAUCGGAUUUAUUGGGCGUAAAGAGCGCGUAGGCGGAGUGGAAAGUUAGAUGUGAAAUCCCGAGGCUCAACUUCGGACCCGCAUCUAAAACUCCCAUUCUAGAGGAUGGUCGGAGAAAAGGGAAUUCCACGUGUAGCGGUGAAAUGCGUAGAUAUCUGGAAGAACACCAAUGGCGAAGGCACCAUCCUGGGAAGCAUCUGACGCUCAGGUGCGAAAGCUAGGGGAGCGAACGGG
rnacentral:rRNA from 1 species